UUAAUAACCUUGGCGAUUGACGUUACCCGCAGAAGAAGCACCGGCUAACUCCGUGCCAGCAGCGCGGAUAGGAGCCAGAGCCGCUAAUACGGGAGCCAGCAGCCGCGGUAAUAUAGCGUCUGAGAGAUGACACACGGAACUGAGACACGGUCCAGAUCUACCGGGAGCCAGCAGCCGCGGUAAUA
rnacentral:misc_RNA from 1 species